AUAUUUCCACCGAAGGCAGUUUCUGAACUCGACAAAACCUACCAACUUAUUGUUAAACAAUGAAUUUUAUAACAAUGUCCAAGUUAACUGUUGUAUUUUUGGUCACAUUAUUGGCGAUUGGCUCUUUUGCUUGCGUACAACAUGGAGAUUCCUGUACUAUGGAUGGUGAACCAUGUUGCGAAAACUAUCGUUGCAGAGAAAAUUAUACUAAACGUUUAACAUGUGGCCUAACCAGGCAAUCUUACACCAUGACGGAAUUUGGAGAUGAAAUAUAAUGGCUAAGCCACGUUUUAAUGUUUUUAUUUCACAUAUAACAGUAAUAAUAAUUAUUAAUAUUGUGAUUGUUAUUAUCUGAA